AAGAUAGUUCAGGACCCUGCUUUAACCCUAACAUGAGUCAGUCCAGUGUGCAACCUCGGUCACAUUGACUGGUGAAUCCAGACCAGCACUCAGGGAGCUGGAAAGAGGGGAGCAGUUCAGGAGGAAGCUGAGAAGAGAGGAUCUGAUGGGAGGAGGAAAAAGCUGCUCCCAGCCCUUGAAGUGCCUGCAAGGAUGCGAAGAUUUUCCAUGAUGGAAGACAACAGAGGGAGCAUCACUGCGGCUGCAACACAGCACACUCCUGCCUGUUUCCAGGCUAAAGUCACUACACCUCCCAUCAUCUGGGCAGCACAAAAACAGGACCAGAAGCACAAAAACAGGACCAGAGUCCUAUGUGGGGAUGGGAUGAGGAAACAGCCAACCCAUCCACAAACACAGCCAUCUCUGCCCGAAGGAUGUGGCCCCAGGACAGGAUGCAACCAGGCAAGUAAAAAGCCAGCAAUUCAUGAAUAUUUUGCAGACAGACCUAAAGACAUUUUUAAGUUCUAAUGGAAAAUAAUAUUUGAUACCUUGCAAGUCAGUAAAAACUGAUUUUAUCUAUGUGACUUUUUCUGCAAGACAGGCAAUGGUAUCACAUUAUUGAUGGUAUUCUUUGUACUCUGUCCUUAUUUGCACUGUUUCCCAUCUCUUAUCCCAAUCACUCAUGAAUAGCUCACUCAUUCAGCCACAUAGUUAAAUGGACAAGAAUACAGAUCAGUUGGACCUUGAAAAUAAGGAGUUUCUAUUUAACAUAUUUUCAUCUGUGAAGCAAGAUAGUGAUAUUGGCUGAAAGUGGAUGAUUCCACAGCGAGUUUCCUCUCUCACACUUCCCCAGAGAAGAGACCCCUACCCACCAUAUUUCACCACCUCGUGUGUCUGCACAGGCACUGGGUACUGAACAGAGGCUGUACUUGGAGCAGUGCACAAAAUAUUAUAUUCAGCACACUAAAAAAAAGAAAAAAAAAAUGUAAAAUUAUCGCGUCCUGAGAAGUUCCCUAAACAUUCUUAAAAUAGAUUUUUCCAUCAUUUAGGGUCUCAUGCAGAACCCUGGUUGAUGAGAUCUGGGAAUCUGCUGUUAAUUUGCUCAUUAGUAGGUGUUUUUACAUCAGCUCUCAGCACUCAUGAGUUUUGUGCUCUUUCUAAAACACUCAUUAAACUUCCAAUAGCAAACUGCAUGAGGAGAUGAAUGCCCUCUUGGUUGAUCCCAUUGAUCCCCUAAAAUCAGCACUAAACCCAGACUCCCCCAUGGUCUCCUUCUGUCAGUAUGGUGCCUAGGCAAGGAUCAGGCACAUUCACAUCCCCAGAUAUGCCAUGACUGCAAAGUCCUGGGUUCAGAUUAGGCCUGGAGGAGCUUUUACCUGUCUGUCCCAGGAAUGCACCCUGCAGGAAUGCUGCCUCUGCCAGCCGCAUGUGUGCCAGCAGCGCGUCCUGGGCCGUGACGUGCGCGGAGCAGCAAUGCGGCUGGGAGUGUGCUGGGGAAUGCCGAGGAUGCCACAACAGGAAACACGGAGACAUAACAUGUCCAAGUGGGGGAACUGAGGCAGACGGAGCAGGAAUGCGAUUACAUGACCCCCGCGGGAUUUGGCCGGGACGCCAGGGCGUGCUGAGCUCAUUCCUCCGUCAGAGGGAGGAAGAGAGUGGAGCGGGUCUGGCUGUUUGUGUUUUAUCAGAUAGAACCAAACGGCAUCAGCAAACAUUGUGGUUUGGGGAAAGAUGGAUUCCAGCACAUUCCCCAGCUCCUGCUCUGUGUCCCAAAGUACAGAGAGAGCGAGUGAAAGUUUCCACUGGUGUAGGAGAGGGAGCCACCUGCCAAGGCUUGCCAGGAAGCCAGCGGAUGCCAGAGGGUCAGGUUAAUUCAGUGUGCAAGCUACAGGGCCCUUCUAUGUGCUCAUUCUUCAAUGGGAUCAGGAGUUUUCCUUUGAAAGAGUUUCAGGUUUUUAACUUGAAAAAUACCACUUUCUCCAAAAUUAAACUGUCUGUGGAGGGAGAAAAAAAUAAAUUUCAGUGUCAGCUGAUGCUAAUAGUCCCUUGUCAGUGGUUUCAACUCUGGGGAAUCCUGCACCAAAAAUAUUUUAGGUUCAGUAACAGUAUUAUGAAUAUAGAGAACAUGAAGUACAAGGGACUGAAUAUGGAGUAAAAGGACCCUGAGACCCUAUUAAUGAAUCAUCUGAGUGUUCUUUUCUGGGUUUUGCAGGUAUCUUAAGUGUUUUAUGCGCAGCUCUGAGAAAACAGAACUACCAUUCCAUCUGUGUAACGUGGGUUGCUCAUUCUUCUUCUUUCUCAGCCCAGGUUGGGAUUAUUCCUAUCAGCCCUUUUGCAUUUUAUGCACAGCUUCCCAAAUUCCAUCACUUCAUUAGGAAACAACUGUGUUCAGCAGCACUGGCAAGAGCAGGAGCAGAUCUGAGGUGCUCACAGAAAAGCUGGGAACAAAAUUUUCAAGAGUUUGGAAAACAGUUCUCAUAGCAACUGGUUUGGGUUGGUGCCUGAAGCACCCCCAUGGCAGGUCAGAAUCAAUAUAGGGGAUCUCAUCAAAACUACUUUGCAUCCCAGAUAUAUUUCCUCUGAAUGAUUCCUGCUUUUCCCAGGUUGAACACUGUGUAUAGGCUAAAUCCAGGAAGCUUUUUUCCCUUACCUGGCAAUACUUCAAGUCUCACAUGGGUAUCUGAGCAAGUAGUGAGAUUGCUUCCAUUCUUCUAUGCAAUUCAGAAGUCAGGAUGUUUAUUUAAUUUUCUAAACUAUAUGGACCAUGUCAGAGCUCUAAGCUCUGCUGGAAUUUCUGAAAUGGUUGAUUAUGGGUUUCAGUUCACACUGGAAGGAGGAUUUAGGUGACUCUUGGUGCAUUUGGUGCAUUCAUAUUCCUGUCCUUGUCCUUCCUGGUUUUAAACUGUCACCUGCCAAAAACAUGCUGAAGUCAGGAUUCAGCUGUUGGCCUGGCUGGUGGGAGAAGCAAAAACUGGCCUGAACUUCCCUCUUUUAGCUUUGCCUGAGCUUGGGAGUGCUGACUUUAGUGAAAACUUGUUUUUAUCAGUCUUUAAAGCUGCUUGCUUGUUACUCAAGGGGCAGAGAGGCAGUAGACUCCAGCUGGUUAAAGUCACUUCUCUGACCACAGACUUUGACCCCUCCCCAAAAUGUUAAUUUCUAGUGCCAACCCAAAAAAGGUUGCUCAGCUCCUCUUCCCUGUCCCUACCCCUGCUCUUUGACAAAUGUAGAUAUUGCAACUCUUUUUCUUUUUUUUUUAAUCGAUUCAUUCAACAGUCUCUCUUCUCUUGUUGUUAUGUACCUAUCAAAACAUAUACAAUCCAGAAACACCUCAGAGUACCUUAUUUAUUUCUCUUUUACUAGCAGGCUGAUGUUCCUAAACAGAUGGCUGAAGAACAAACCGAGGCUCCAGGCUUUAGUGCUGAUUUUUGCUGUAUGGACCCCGGGAUGUUUCUGAGCUGGUUUCUUUGAGAAAUGAGGGAAGUCCCAGGGAUGGUUCUGCUGUGAGCAGUUCUGCUGGCUCCUUCCCCUGCAGUCACAGCCAGGCAGCCAAAGGAUCAGCCGUGAGUACUCAGAGUCCUUUUCCCAGGAGGGCCUGAGCCAGGUGGAGGUGAAGGAUGGCAGGAGAGGCAGCAAUGUGCCUGUGUCCCCAGCAGCCCUCGGCUGAGUUCAGCUGGAUGUGCAUUACAGUAGCCUGAAAUGUCUCUUUCUGCUGACAGCUGAAGCUGAUGAUGCACUGGGCCAGACAUUUCCUUUGCCCAAGCACCAGCCACUUUGGCCAAGAUCUAAGGCAGGCCUUGAGGCCAGGCUGAGAGAAGAGGCAGGGCUGUGCCCAGCUGUGCAGCCCUUCAGCAGAGAGCCAGCAUUUACCACCCUGACCACAGCCGUGCUCCUGCAUACAAUAGCCAAGAAAACCUGCAAGAACCACUGGCUUGAAACAUGCCCAUGGGGAAGAUGAUUCUCCUCUGGCUCAUUAACUCCUGAAAAGACUUUAAUCAGGGCCAGCUUGCAAAAAAAACCCAACCCAAGCUCAAUAAGGCAGAGACAAGAAGGCAGCUGGUUAGCUAUAACUAGUGUAUUUAGCUACUUCCCUAACCAUUGUCCACCCUUAUUAAUGGUUAAACACUCUCUGUGUCAUUGUUUGCUGUUUCUGGCCAGUUCAAACUCUUUCAAGCGGGAGGAAGAGUGAAGUGUGGAGGAAACCAACACCAAAGGCCUGCUUGUAUUUUACAAGACACCCAAUUAAAUGUCACCUCAGGUUACCUAUAAGUGUCACUUGCUUUCCUGUUAAGGGACAUUUAUUGGAACUCAGAAAUGCAUGAAUGAGCAGGGCUCUUAACCUUGCCUUGAGACUGGUGAAUGCGUAUUGUGCCUAACUGCCAUCCUUCGUACUUGCGUGUUAUCUUUCCCUUAUCUCCACAGUAUCAGAGAGCUUCAGUUUUCUGCUUAUUUAUCUCCAUGGUGUCCUGAGGACUUCCUAAAAGAAUGAGAUCUGACUAACUUGUCCAAAGUCACACAAGAAACUGGCGGCAGCACAGAGGAUUGGUGAUUUGCCAGCAUGACAAGUGGGUGACCAUGAAGUCUUUCUAGAGCACCUCAAAUGUCACAGCAGCCCUUUGGCCUUGGGCCCCUGCCCUUCUUGCAUGGGAGGGGUGGAAGCUGUGCUGGGCUCAGGCCCUUGUGGGUCUGGGUGCCCCGUGGCUGCCCCUGCAUGGCACAGCUGGAGUCAUGGGGGCUUUCCCUGGCCAGGGGGCUGUGGCAGGUAACUCAUGCCCCUGCUUAACCACUGAUGUCUUGGUCCUCCACCGAACAGAAACUGCUGAGAGUGGCAGAUCUGCUAGACCGUGUAUUUUUCGUCUUGCAGCCAGAUGCUCAAUCAGGAUUAAGCGGAAUCUACUACCUUAAUUUCUUACUUCCUCACUUCCAACUCCUGCCCAGUGGCCAUGACAUUCUGUUUCAAGCAGGGAUUAACCUCCUCUGGUAAAUGAAGACCCAUACCCAACCCUUGCCUCAGACUUGUACCAAACUUGACUCUUCAGUUGAGUUUGAAAAGUUGUUUCAACAUUUUUUUCAACUUUCACAUUCCUCUGCCCUCUUUGGGAUUUGACUGGAGGUAGAGGCACCAAAAUACCCUGAGGAAUGCUGUCUUAGAUUAAUUUCUGACCCUGCUGAUUAACCAGUCUCUCUGAUCCUGGUUAACUCUGCUCAUUUACAGGCCAAAAACCCACUUGGGCAAGAUUCAAACAAACAUCCAGGCCAGCAGCUUCAAGUGCUCAUUCACAAGCGAUCAGUCAGAAAUCUCUGCUGAUUUUGGUGGCACUGACAUCAAAGGUACUGCAUUUUUCACUGCAUGACCACACUGACGUCACCACUGCAAAGCCUGAUGGAGGAUGGAAUGAGCAGAUCCUGCCAGUUUUCUCUGCCUGGAUUUGGCAGCACGCAGAGGUUUCGUGAUGAGCUCUACUGGAGGUUGUUUGUUGGCACCUCCCCGGCAGUGUCAGUGUCAGUGUGCAGCAGAAGGGCAUCUCAUCCCUGAGCCAUGCUGGAUUAGGAGGUGGGAGUCAGCACUUUUCUUCCAGCAGAUGCCACCCAACCUUGACCUCCACCAUCCAGAUGUGCAGGUGGCAUAAAGAAGGAACAAAAAGAGGAAAGAUGAUCUAAAAGAAUAAACUCCAUCUGGCCUUAAUUCUCUACUCCCCACUGCAACAGGAGCUUUGGAAACUCAAAAGACAGAUGAGCACACAUGGAAGAGCGAUGCUCAGGUGCAGAGUGAGCAGGAGUGUGCAUUGCCACUGACAGUGUUUAGAGAUCUGUGUUCUGCCACUGCAUCCAUCUUGCUGCACAGCCUGAGGCCAUCACCACAUGAAACAGUUCACUGCCUGACAAGGAAAGCAAGAUAAGAAGAGACUGGAGAUAGUUCAGGGAACUGAACUCCCUCUCCCAAGGAGAAGUGGGGGAGUUUACGUUUCUGAUGUGGAUGGAGAGGCAACUGUGCUGGGUGUUGAGCCACAGGACUUGGCAGAGAGGAUGCCAUAAGCUGCUCCAAGAGGGAGCGGAGGGGUUUGGCAUGGUGCUCACGGAGCAAGCAUGUCUCAUUUUUUGCCACCCCAUAAACGUAUUGAUGUUGGUGCUGCUCACAGUGAAGGAGAGGCUGAGCCUGCACACCCACACCAAAAUGCUUUUGAUAUUUGGAGAUCUACAGGAGUGGGUCACUACUCUGGCCAGUUUGUUGUUGUCUACCAUGGCUGUUGCAAGACUCAAAGAGAGGGUGCCAGGAUUAAAAACAAACCCAACUCCAAGCUUUGAAGGAUGUAGGAUGCCAGGCAAUGCCACUCAGUUAUGAAGCAGAGGAAAGUGUAAAGCUGAUGGCUACGUGUGAAGCCAAACAAAAGCAGAUUAGAAAUGAAACACGUUUUUAAAUUAAUGUGAGCUUCGAAAUCAAGUAAUUUGAUGAGUCUCCAACUUCUGAUGUGUUCAUAUUCCCAUAUAUUGGUAUGUCCGAAGCUGGAUGUUUUUCUGGAAGAUGCAGCAAAGCUACUGGGCUCGGUCCUGGGCUAAUUGACUGCAACUGAAUGGCUUUGAAAUAUAGGAAAUCAUACCAGAUGUUCUCAUGGCUCCUUCUGGCCUUAAAUCCUGUGAUUCUAUGAAUGAGUUUCUGAAUCUGCGAAAUCCGAAGUCCUGAGAAUACAAACAUAUGAGUGGAGUUAUACUUCUGGCCUCCACAUCAGAAGAAAGAUAUUGAAUGUGCAUUGUUGUGAUAAAUCAAAGAAGCAGCUAAAUCAGAGCUGUAAUAAAAGUCAACUGCAGAUCUUUGUGCAGAAAUUGGUCAUAUGUCAUGUGAGGACAAGGUUUGGAGAUGAGAUUUCUCAACAUCUGAAAUGACUUCUUCUGGAAGCAGCCCCUUCCAAGCACUGUGGUGGAGAUCCUUCAGACUCUCCACAGUCUUCUGUGCCACACAGGAGCCUGUUUGACAAGUGACGAUCAGUGAGGCACUGAAUGCUGCUGACCACAGUGUAAUUGAGAUGAGCAUCCCUGCCACGAAAACCAGCAGCGAGACAUUCAAGCCAAGAGAAAGGGGUUUUGUUUUUCUGGGCUUCCUUAAGGGGAAGCACAUCAAAACUGGGGAAACUGAAAUCCAUAGUCAGCAAGAAAGCUUGCUCAGCCCUGGUCUAAGCACAGUCACACCAACCGUGUAUCCACCCACUCCGAAAAGUUUUUUGAAAAAGGAAGAAGAGCAGCAACAACAAAAAUCUCAGAAGAAUUAUGAUACUUCUGUGGGAUUUGAAAACACACCUAAGUAAUCUGAUUAAUUCUGGGAGGAAAUCCUCUCUAUACCCCAUAACUGGUUUCAGAUGACAUGAGUGUGAGUAUCACCACUGAAAUUCCUUCUUGUCAAGCUCUGAGCAUCUCCAGUUUCCUGUCCUCACCCUCUGUCUUGGCUAUGCCUCUGGCUCUAGCUGGAGAAGGCAGCAGAACGAGCAGGACCCACCUGGGAACCAACAGGUCUCAUCAGCACAACAUGGGGUGGUUCCUAAGAUGCAUGGUUGAUCACUGUGAUGCAAAUCUCCCUCUUUCAUGCAUGGAGGGUUCUGGGCCCUUGCAGCAUGGACCCAUUGCUUUAAAGAAAACCUUCAAGAAACAGACACUCGGUUUGAAUGAAACGCUCAGAAAAAGAACAUGUCCUGCCAAAAUUCUCCAGUGAAGCACCCUUAUUAUAUAAUACUAGUCUACAAGUGUCGUGCAAAGUGCUGUCUGUCAUUUGCAGAGGGCCCAUUGAUGCUCUAACGUCACCACCAAUGUCACGCAACACUGGGUGAAGCAAAGAGCGCGGCGAUGUCACCAGGAAACACAUAAUGCCAAUGACAGUGGAACUAAUGUACAGGCAUUGUCCUUACAUUAUUCAACACUUCCAAUUGCUCUCCGGUUUAAGUGGCUAUAUGAUGUAAUAAUAUAUAAAUACUGUAAUGAAGGGUUUAUUUAUAGCCAUCCUCAGUGUUACUGGUGAAAGUAUUAAUGUGCUUUUCCCACGCUAUGUUCAUUGACCGCAGCCGUGUAACCCAUUUUCAAGGGACCAUGUCAAAAGAGUGUUUAAGCCAUUCCUCAGUCAGAGGAACAGGUGAACAGCUAAUGCAGCAAGGGAAGUAAUCAGCUUUGAAAAUGGGAAUGGAGAAAACCAAAAACAAAGCAAAGGAGUGUGGGUGAAAAGAGGACACACCUCAAAUGGAAAAAGAGGGUAAAGUGUCUCCAAAGCUGGCAACUACUUUCCAGCCUGGGGAACAACGGACUCCAUGGAGAAAAGACACUUGCACCUAGCUGUCAUUUAAGACAUGAGAACUGAUGGAGGGAGCAGGGGGAGUGAUCAGACCUUGGACCAAAAGCAGCUUCAAGUCUUAGAAAUACGGAGUGAUGCCAUUCACACUGCCAGAGUUGCUCUCGAUUUCAGUGUUGACCUUAAUUGAGCUUGCAUUUCUGUAUAAUCUUUCACAUCUUUUAGCUUUCCAAACCACCCUGGAGCCGCCAGUAGCUUCCAGAUGUUUUUUUUUGCCUCCUCCCUGAGGAUGGCAUGGAGAGAAAAACAGCAGGUCUUGAAUGGUUGAAGGUGCAGGAUUUCAGAAGGACUGUGAGGCUCUUGCAGAGACACACAACUCUCCCAUUCCUACGCUCCAUCUGCAAAGAGACUUCCCUUUCACUGUAAACACAGUAAAAAUGGGAAAAAGCAGAAAGAAAAAUUUUUACUUGUGGGAGAAAUGUGUGAUUUCAUCACUGCAAAGUGUGGGUUUCUUGGGGUGUGUAGAAGAAUCCACAAUUACCUGGAGAGACAAAGUGGUGAAGAUGGGGCUUCUGGCUCUCUGGCCUGCUUUCCUCCUGUGCUGCACCAGGUCCUGACCCACUGCUGAGCCUCGCCUGUUACUGCAGCUCCAUUGCUGACCUAGGAAGAGAAGCUUUUCAGAAAUUCAUCUGAUACCUGCAUUUCCCUAUUUAGGGAGGAGCUUUCCCUGUCUUUGACUUGGCUCAUCAUUCCUUGCAGGGUGUACCGCAUAUUUUCUUUAAGGGCUCUUUGAGUGGUGAAAACAGGGCUGGGCUUGUAAAGAUAAUGUCAAAAUUUCUCCACCCAGAUUAGGACUUCCCCAUUCAUCUUUCUUAAAAUUUGCCAUUCCCAGAGCAUGAAAAUCCUGUGUAUCCAUGUGGGCUUUGAGUGUGAAGCAGAGCAAGAAAUGGGGCAAGAAAUGGAGUGACAGCAGGAGGGGAUGUAUCUUCCUCCACUGCAUUGGCAUGCUGCCAGCAAGUGCAAGAAUCUGCCUUUUUUUUCUCUGUUUCACAACAGAGCUGCGCUGUAAACAGCAUUCAUCACACAGGGAGUUCCACUUAGAAAUGGGUGAAUGCUAGAAAAAUACUAUUUACAAGUCCUCCCUCAAAUAAAAACCAUGAGUUUAUUUUGGCACUGGCAAUGAUUCCCCAAGUGAUUGCUUCUGGCAAGCGCUCAGGCAGGUACAACAACACUUGCUGAAAUAUUCAGAGGAUGGAGACGUGUUGGAGAUACUUGUGUAAAUGUGAGCUGUGGGACAAAUGGUUGUGCAAAUCUGUGCAGUGAGGCGUUUGCAUAACUGGUUUUGAUUGCUGCUUGUGGGUUCCAGACUCCUCGAAUCAAAGUGGUGAAGCUCUGCCACAUGACGGAGGUAAACAGGGACACACGCAGAAACUCAUCAAGAAGAGUACAAAUGAAAAUUAACAAAAAAAAAAAGGCAACAACAAAUAGUUGAACUGCAGUCAGGCAGCAUAGUUUACAACCAGCCCAAAGACUGAGAAACGGCCAAAGAAACCAUUCACGUAAUAACGGCAUGUCAAACACAUCUGUAAAGUUCCUGUAGCAUUUGCAAACAGCGGCCUAAACUCAACAGGAUUUACUUGGAGCAGAUCGUGAGAUUAAAACCAAGAGAGCAUGCAAAUAUCUUUCUGGAACAGGGCCAGGAGACAAGACCACAAUUGCAUGGUUAAUUGAAUUUGGCAAGCAGUCACCCAGCUAUAUUUCCUCUGGGAUUGACAUGUGGAGUGGAUCAAUUGAUACUGGAGGAAUUAAGGAUGGGGAUUGCAGAAAAAAUGAAGAUCUGACCGGGAGGGCUCACCAUGGUGGGCAGAUGGGCUAAUGUUCAGUAGGUGGCACCUACGAGCAGAGAUCCAAGGCUGGUGUCACCUCAGAUUGCCCCCCCAUCUUCCAAACACUUGUCCUGAUGCAGACAGAGACUUAACCAUGUGCUGGCUGUAACUGGUGUGCCCACAUGUGAAAGCAAUUGCAAGGCUGGAAGGGCUUGGGUUCAGUUUUGUUUGCGUUGUUCAUUAUCUACAAAUGCAAUUACCAAGGGAUAAAUUAAAUUAGGUUGUAGCGUUAUUUUGAACAUCUUUUCUGGUUUGCUUUACUUCAGAUUUUCUGAGAGGCCAGUGUUUAUAGUUAAAAGUACAACUUGGCAGAAGUACAAUCAGGAGUGAGCAGCACAUACCACAAACAAAACCAUUAAGACCAUUUAGAAAAUUUUUGCAAAAGACAAUCAAGUAUUACAGGCCUAAUUUCCCACUUGGUCACCAUGAUUUUAUGUCAACAUUAACACCAUUGACUUCAGCUGAGCCCUACAGGCACAAAGCUUGUGUGAUGGGGUGGGAAACUGGCCCAGUUUAGGAUUAUGUAUAUCGUAUUAUUUAAAAGACAAAGAAACAAAUCCCAGGAGUGCGUAAGUAUGCUGAAGUCUCUGAAUGUAGACUUUUCCCACUGAAAUCAAAAGCAGAGCAUCUGUGUACUGGGAGGAGUGGAAUCAGGUGUCCUCUACCUGCUAUUGGCAAGGCAUGGCCAUCAACAAUGAACAUUUUGGGGCUGGAUGUAGAGUGUAGGACAGGAUGGAUACUCUGUAAAAUAGAGAGGUGACUAAAGGGAAAGGUGUGUCUUCUUCCCUGAGAACCUCCUCCCCCAGUCCUAAAUACCUUCUUAUUUCUCAUUACUUCAUACACUAGGAUCUAUUUUUAAUGCUUCUCACAUUAGUAUAAUGGUUUUUUUUCCGUACGUGUACGAAUAUAGAGAUACAUAAACCCAAAGAAAGAUAGGAGAUGUUUUUCCUACCUGGUUGAUCAUUGUUUUGGAUUUUUUUCAUUUUAGGGCUUUUGGAAGGUUAAUUAUAUUAGACAUACUGGGCUGGCCACUGGGAUGAGUAAAACAGUUUGGGAGAAGAAAAGGUUUGUGAAUAUUUCAGGAUAAUUACUAACAGUUAGUCCCAGACCCAGAAAAAAAAUAUUAAAAAGAAAAGCAAAGAAAAAGAGAGAAAAAGAGUUUCGCCUGUUACUGAUUUCCUUUUUGGUUUCAGGGGCCAUUGUUUGUUUUAAUGACAGGAAAAGAGAGCUGUCAGAAGACAUUUGCAUAGUGCAAAUAGGGUCACAAAUCAGAGGGGCUGUGGAGAUCAUGUAGCACUGAGCCGGCACCCAUCGGUGUGCUGCUACAAGGACGAGGUUGUUUUCUGUAGUAAUGGGGAAAAGCUGAUAGUUUUUCCACAUGCAGUUAAGGGCUCAAGCAAUUUUGGGGAAGAAAAGCUUCCCACUUGCAGCAGGGUCUGCUGGGCUCUCAUGAAGGCGUUGCUGUUUGUUUAUUUUCCUAGCUGUGUGCUUAAGAUGCAUUCUUUGAAAAUUUAGCUGAUGGGUCUGUUUGUAUAGACUGCACUGCUGGUGAGUUAGACCAGGGGUUUGUGUUCAUUUGGGAAAAGAGAAAGAAUCCUGGCCAUCAGAAAUGUUUACUAUAUCAGGAAAUGAAUUCACUACUUGAGGGUUCCAGUGGAUAUAAAACAAAAAUUAAAACAAGAGCCUUGUAUAAA